rnacentral:lncRNA from 1 species
UUGUGAGUAACCGGGCUGAGAAUGUUAUUAGGGGUUAGAUGUUGAUCCUUCUUGUGUGUAACUUGCCUGGCGUGGGUCGUAUAGGUACAUAUCUUCAUCGAUGAAUUGAAAACCAACUGAUUUGUACCAAUCCAUAUAAGUACGACUUGGUUUUACCUCAUUUGACAUGACUGCGUCAGUUAAGACAUGGUCAUGACGGUGCUUCCAUUUG